rnacentral:rRNA from 1 species
GACGAACUGCCCAAACGUUGUUCGGAAUCACUGGGCUUAAAGGGCGCGUAGGCGGCAGAUCAAGUCAGGGGUGAAAUCCGGCAGCUCAACUGUCGAAGUGCCUUUGAUACUGAUUUGCUCGAGGGAGAUAGGGGUCUGCGGAACUUCCGGUGGAGCGGUGAAAUGCGUUGAGAUCGGAAGGAACGCCCGUGGCGAAAGCGAGGUCCUGGACGCCUACUGACGCUGAGACGCGAAAGCCAGGGGAGCGAACGGG